rnacentral:rRNA from 1 species
AGAGUUUGAUCCUGGCUCAGAUUGAACGCUGGCGGCAUGCCUUACACAUGCAAGUCGAACGGCAGCACGGGAGCAAUCCUGGUGGCGAGUGGCGAACGGGUGAGUAAUACAUCGGAACGUGCCCAGUUGUGGGGGAUAGCCCGGCGAAAGCCGGAUUAAUACCGCAUACGACCUGAGGGUGAAAGCGGGGGAUCGCAAGACCUCGCGCAAUUGGAGCGGCCGAUGUCAGAUUAGCUAGUUGGCGGGGUAAGAGCCCACCAAGGCGACGAUCUGUAGCUGGUCUGAGAGGACGACCAGCCACACUGGGACUGAGACACGGCCCAGACUCCUACGGGAGGCAGCAGUGGGGAAUUUUGGACAAUGGGCGCAAGCCUGAUCCAGCCAUGCCGCGUGUGGGAAGAAGGCCUUCGGGUUGUAAACCACUUUUGUCAGGGAAGAAACGGCUCUUACUAAUAUUAGGAGCUAAUGACGGUACCUGAAGAAUAAGCACCGGCUAACUACGUGCCAGCAGCCGCGGUAAUACGUAGGGUGCAAGCGUUAAUCGGAAUUACUGGGCGUAAAGCGUGCGCAGGCGGCUUUGCAAGACAGAUGUGAAAUCCCCGGGCUCAACCUGGGAACUGCAUUUGUGACUGCAAGGCCUAGAGUACGGUAGAGGGGGAUGGAAUUCCGCGUGUAGCAGUGAAAUGCGUAGAUAUGCGGAGGAACACCGAUGGCGAAGGCAAUCCCCUGGACCUGUACUGACGCUCAUGCACGAAAGCGUGGGGAGCAAACAGGAUUAGAUACCCUGGUAGUCCACGCCCUAAACGAUGUCACUGGUUGUUGGACGGCUUGCUGUUCAGUACGAAGCUAACGCGUGGAAGUUGACCGCCUGGGAGUACGGCCGCCAAGGUUUGAAACUCAAAGAAUUGACCGGGACCCGCCACAAGCGGUGGAUGAUGUGGUUAAUUCGAUGCAACGCGAAAACCUUACCUACCCUUGACAUGUCUGGAAGUUCCUAGAGAUAGAUUCGUGCUCGAAAGAGAACCAGAACACAGGUGCUGCAUGGCCGUCGUCAGCUCGUGUCGUGAGAUGUUGGGUUAAGUCCCGCAACGAGCGCAACCCUUAUCAUUAGUUGCUACGCAAGGGCACUCCAAUGAGACUGCCGGUGACAAACCGGAGGAAGGUGGGGAUGACGUCAGGUCAUCAUGGCCCUUAUGGGUAGGGCUACACACGUCAUACAAUGGCCGGUACAGAGGGCUGCCAACCCGCGAGGGGGAGCUAAUCUCAGAAAACCGGUCGUAGUCCGGAUCGCAGUCUGCAACUCGACUGCGUGAAGUCGGAAUCGCUAGUAAUCGCGGAUCAGCUUGCCGCGGUGAAUACGUUCCCGGGUCUUGUACACACCGCCCGUCACACCAUGGGAGCGGGUUCUGCCAGAAGUAGUUAGCCUAACCGCAAGGAGGGCGAUUACCACGGCAGGGUUCGUGACUGGGGUGAAGUCGUAACAAGGUAACC